GAGGCUGGAGCUGAGAAGUUAGACUCCUGAGGACAGAGAUCAAACCUUCGCCUCAGCAGCUUCUCUCCCCAAGAAUUCUCAGAUUUGAAUGGGAUGGACUCUAAGAAAGCACCAAAUUCUCAGAUUAAAUUCAACACUGUGCAAAAAGCUGUUGCCCUCCUGGUGCUCCCUGGGCCCCCACUGAUCUUGAGCUCCAGCCAAAUACUUAAAUAAAUACUUGUUGCCAGGCA